UGCUUUGCGCAGUGGCAAUAUUGUAACCGAUGAAGUAUAACUGAGGUGCAAUUAUUGCUAGUUGGAAACUUUAUUUCUUCAUGAAUUUUCAAACAAUAAUUGCAUAUUUGCUAUUCUCCUUUUUAAAAACCCCAGACAACAAA